rnacentral:snoRNA from 1 species
CCCCUCUCAGGAUCACAUCUGGAGAGUUUCCAGUACUCAACCCGUUUUGGCUACAGGAGGGAGAGUCAAGCAGAGGCCUAACUGUUCCAUUUCUAGCUUGGGCAGUGGCUAGCGAGUGGAAGGCCAUCUGCUACAAGU